AAAAAAAGAUAAAACUAGGGUUUAGAAGCAUUUCACCCGAACACACAUCUACUGCCGCCGUCCAGUGCUGCUGCUCUCUGAGGCGUCUUCAGGAGAAGUAAGAGGAAGCGGACGAUAAAACGCAAAAAUGCCAAAGCAGAUACAUGAAAUCAAGGAUUUUCUUCUCACAGCAAGAAGGAAGGAUGCUCGUUCUGUUAAAAUCAAGAGGAGAAGAGAUGUGGUGAAGUUCAAGGUUCGAUGCUCCAAGUAUCUUUACACACUGUGCGUGUUUGAUCCUGAGAAGGCUGACAAGUUGAAGCAAUCUCUUCCUCCAGGUUUGAGUGUUCAGGAACUGUGAAGAAACAAUCAAAGUGUUUCUGGGCCAUUACUGAAGUCAAGGAUCAAGUAUUUAGCCUUGUUUAUCUUCUUUUUUUAUUGUGAUUUUUGAGUAAUUUUGUCGAUUUAGUGACUUUGACUUAUCACUGAGAUCUUAUCCUAUUCCUGGAGAGGCCUCCUUAUAAUACAAAGUGGUGGAUUGGUAGAACCGCUUCUUGGAGAAAGUUUUUCACUAGUCAUGUUCAACUUUUUUCA